GUAAAGUGGCAGAAGCUGGGACCAUCCAACUCUAAAGCCCACAUUCUUAGACAUUAGGGGAUAUUGAAUGAAGUGUGUGUAUGUAUGGGGGAAUUUAAGAGAAUAUCAAACCAUUUGUAGAGUUCUACCCAAUAUAGAGACCUUAUCUAAUGUAAGAGAACUCUGAAGACAUCUCAUUGAUUGAAUGCUCUCCCCUUCAUAGCAACUUCUUCUGCGGCUUCCUUGCCUGGUGCUCCAGUCUUUGAGGGAAGCACGGCUGGCACGUUCUUCCGUUUGGAGACAUGGUUGACAAUUUCUCCAUAAUGGGGACACAACUGGCAAUUUUCCUACAGAGUGAGGCAGAUGGCAAUUUUCCUUCAGAGACAUGCAGGCAACAGUUUUGCCCCUGGAGAGAAAAGCCUCGCCGAUUGAGAUGCAGCCAGUAAUUUUUACUAUACAGAAGACACAUCCAAUAAUUUUGCCCAGUGAGAGAAACGGCCAACAAUUUUCCCACAGAGGACAGGAAAAACAGACCAAAAAUUCAUAGUGGGGAGAAGUGAGGAGCAAAUGGGCUGGUAUGACCAAGAAAGACUUAAUAAGAAGCUGAGCCUUAAAUGAUCAAGAAGCACUGGAUAGAUAAGAGCACUGUUCACAAUAGCCAAGAUUUGGAAGCAACCUAAGUGUUCACCAACUGAUGAAUGGAUAAAGAAAA
rnacentral:lncRNA from 10 species